rnacentral:lncRNA from 1 species
GCUUGGCACCGAAAUCCACCACGUUAAAAACUUUAACAUCAGGGCCGACCUUGCCUUCAGCAACUUCCCAAACUUUGGCUACGGCUAGUUCCGGAUCGAAACUAGGCAACUCGUGAGAAUCACCAUUAACUAAGCCCUGAACCAGAAUGGCAAUUAUUGCAAGGAGCCUCAUUGAAGCCAUUUUGAAACUGAGGCCUUCAAUUUUUUUUUCUUUAUUGUUUAUUAGCCUCAGAUAAAGAGGCUCAAAUUUGGAAGUGGUGAAG